GGAUGAACGCUAGCGGGAGGCCUAACACAUGCAAGCCGAGCGGUAUUGUUUCUUCGGAAAUGAGAGAGCGGCGUACGGGUGCGUAACACGUGUGCAACCUGCCUUUAUCUGGGGGAUAGCCUUUCGAAAGGAAGAUUAAUACUCCAUAAUAUAUUGAACGGCAUCGUUUAAUAUUGAAAGCUCCGGCGGAUAGAGAUGGGCACGCGCAAGAUUAGCUAGUUGGUGAGGUAACGGCUCACCAAGGCGAUGAUCUUUAGGGGGCCUGAGAGGGUGAUCCCCCACACUGGUACUGAGACACGGACCAGACUCCUACGGGAGGCAGCAGUGAGGAAUAUUGGUCAAUGGGUGCAAGCCUGAACCAGCCAUCCCGCGUGAAGGACGACUGCCCUAUGGGUUGUAAACUUCUUUUGUAUAGGGAUAAACCUACCCUCGUGAGGGUAGCUGAAGGUACUAUACGAAUAAGCACCGGCUAACUCCGUG
rnacentral:rRNA from 1 species